UAUUUUUAAAGGGCCGCGGUAUACUGACCGUGCGAAGGUAGCAUAAUCAUUAGUCUUUUAAUUGAAGGCUUGUAUGAAUGGUUGGACAAAAAGUAAUCUGUCUCAGUUAUAAUAGUUGAACUUAACUUUUAAGUGAAAAGGCUUAAAUACUUUAAGGGGACGAUAAGACCCUAUAAAACUUAACAAUAAUUUGAUUAAAUUAUAAAUUGUUAGUAUAACUUGAUUUUAAUUAAUGUUUGUUGCGUUGGGGCGACGGGAAUAUAAUUAGUAACUGUUCUUAAAUAUUUUAUUAACAAGUAUAAUUGAAGAAUAAUUGAUCCUUUAUUAAAGAUUAAAAGAUUAAGUUACUUUAGGGAUAACAGCGUAAUCUUCUUUGAGAGUCCUCAUCGACAAGAAGGUUUGCGACCUCGAUGUUGAAUUAAGGCAUCCUUAUAAUGCAG
rnacentral:rRNA from 1 species